rnacentral:rRNA from 1 species
GAUGAACGCUGACAGAAUGCUUAACACAUGCAAGUCAACUUGAACUUCGGUUUGGGUGGCGGACUGGUGAGUAACGCGUAAGGAACUUGCCUCACAGUUAGGGACAACAUUUUGAAACGAAUGCUAAUACCUGAUAUUAUGAUUUUAGGGCAUCCUAGAAUUAUGAAAGCUAUAUGCGCUGUGAGAGAGCUUUGCGUCCCAUUAGCUAGUUGGAGAGGUAACGGCUCACCAAGGCGAUGAUGGGUAGCCGGCCUGAGAGGGUGAACGGCCACAAGGGGACUGAGACACGGCCCUUACUCAUACGGGAGGCAGCAGUGGGAAAUAUUGGACGAUGGACCAAGAGUCUGAUCCAGCAAUUCUGUGUGCAAGAUGAAGUUUUUCGGAAUGUAAAGUGCUUUCAGUUGGGAAGAAAAAAAUGACGGUACCAACAGAAGAAGCGACGGCUAACUACGUG